CACCGAGUCCGUGGCCUCGGGAGUCACCGGGGCCUGGUGCAAAAGGGA
rnacentral:sRNA from 1 species